AUGAUUUGGAGAACUGUGAGAUCAGUCUUUGGCACCGAGUUGUGCCCUAACAACAUUUGGCAGUUUUGUUCGUGGUGCUACACGUUUUUACCUGAUGGGGGCAGAUUCUACAGUUUUGGUCUUGCAGCUAUAUGCUGGUCCAUUUGGAACUGCCGCAAUCAAGCAACCUUUGGGUUUAAAUUUCUUAAAAUCCCUUUUGAGGUGGUGUUCUCUUCAUGUGUAUUUCUGGAUUAUGGGGCAGGUUUGCUGAAGAGUGAUGACCAGGAGGCAAUGUGGCGUGGGGCAAUGAUGCUCAGGGAUAAUGUGAAGAACAUGAUGCGUAUCUGUGCUGCUGCUCAAGAUGAUGGUGCGAUGGACUGA
rnacentral:rRNA from 1 species